rnacentral:lncRNA from 1 species
UUCAAACCCCUUGAGAAUUGAAAAAAGACAAGGAUGCCGUCUCACCACUCCUAUUGAACAUAGUAUUAGAUGUCGAAUUGUAACCACCAAUGUUGGAGGUGGCGUCUGAUGAAAGAUAAUUAGAUCAUGGGGAUGUGUUUUCCUCUCUCACGCUGUUCUCCUGACAGAGCUCUCAGGAGAUCUGGUUUCAAAGUGUGUGGUACCUCUCCCUUAUCUCUUCUUCCUGCUGCAGCCAUGUAAGACAUGAUGUUUCCCAUUCUGUCAUGAUUGUCAGGUUCCCCAGGCCUCCCCAGCCAUGCUUCCUGUACAGCCUGCAGAACCAUGAAUUAAAUUAAAUUAAAGAAUUAAAUAUCUUUAUAAAUUACUCAGUCC